rnacentral:rRNA from 1 species
CCCUGCCAUUUGUACACACCGCCCGUCGCUACUACCGAUUGAAUGGUUUAGUGAGGCCUCGGGACUGGCGCACGGGGCGCUGGCAACAGCACCCUCGCGCCGGGAACUUGGUCAAACUUGAUCAUUUAGAGGAA